UACGGAGGGGGCUAGCGUUGUUCGGAAUUACUGGGCGUAAAGCGCACGUAGGCGGCUUUGCAAGUCAGAGGUGAAAGCCCGGGGCUCAACCCCGGAAUAGCCUUUGAGACUGCAUCGCUAGAAUUGUGGAGAGGUAAGUGGAAUUCCGAGUGUAGAGGUGAAAUUCGUAGAUAUUCGGAAGAACACCAGUGGCGAAGGCGGCUCACUGGACCGGUAUUGACGCUGAGGUGCGAAAGCGUGGGGAUCAAACAGG
rnacentral:rRNA from 1 species